GCUGGAAUAGCUCAGUUGGUUAGAGCGUGUGGCUCUUAAUCACAAGGUCAGAGGUUCAAGCUCUCCUUCUAGCG
rfam:Ipomoea nil DNA, scaffold: scaffold2926, cultivar: Tokyo-kokei standard.